AUUCCGAUGACUUCUUAGAGGGAUUAUCGGUGUUCAGCCGCACGUAAUUGAGUAAUAACAGGUCUGUGAUGCCCUUAGAUGUCCGGGGCAGCACGCACGCUACACUAGCAAAAUCAGCGUGCUUGUCCUUCCCCGAAAGGGGUUGGUAAACCNUCAAGUUGUACCGAUAGGGUUGGCACCAAUGUGUGCAUGUUUUACAGAGGGUUCUGCAACCGAUUCAUGUUUAUGCUGCAAACUUACUGCGCAAAAACUUGCAAAUUUUGCACUUCUGGACCUACAAUUACAUCGACAAACACGAGCACUUCGACCAGUACCAGCACCAGUUCCACCUCAACAACUUCAACCGCUUCAACUACCAAAAAGACUUCACCUUCAAGCUUUUUCAUGAUUCGGUGGAUGGUGGUGCAUGGCCGUUCUUAGUUCGUGGAGCGAUUUGUCUGGUUUAUUCCGAUAACGAGCGAGACUCUAGCCUACUAAAUAGUUGGCUCAUUGCUGCUGUGGGCACAACUUCUUAGAGGGAUUUUCGGUGUUCAGCCGCACGAAAUUGAGCAAUAACAGGUCUGUGAUGCCCNAGCAAGACGGACUACAGCGAAAGCAUUUGGCAAGAAUGUCUUCAUUAAUCAAGAACGAAAGUCAGAGGUUCGAAGGCGAUCAGAUACCGCCCUAGUUCUGACCGUAAACGAUGCCAACUAGCGAUCCGCCGGCGGAUUCAUUCGCCCUGGUGGGGAGCUUCCCGGAAACGAAAGUCUUCCGGUUCCGGGGGAAGUAUGGUUGCAAAGCUGAAACUUAAAGGAAUUGACGGAAGGGCACCACCAGGAGUGGAGCCUGCGGCUUAAUUUGACUCAACACGGGGAAACUCACCCGGCCCGGACACCGUAAGGAUUGACAGAUUGAUAGCUUUUUCAUGAUUCGGUGGAUGGUGGUGCAUGGCCGUUCUUAGUUCGUGGAGCGAUUUGUCUGGUUUAUUCCGAUGACUUCUUAGAGGGAUUAUCGGUGUUCAGCCGCACGUAAUUGAGUAAUAACAGGUCUGUGAUGCCCUUAGAUGUCCGGGGCAGCACGCACGCUACACUAGCAAAAUCAGCGUGCUUGUCCUUCCCCGAAAGGGGUUGGUAAACCAGUGAAAAUUUGCCGUGAUUGGGAUCGGACAUUGCAAUUAUUGUCCGUGAACGAGGAAUUCCUUGUAGGUGCGAGUCAUCAACUAGCUCUGAAUACGUCCCUGCCCUUUGAACACACCGCCCGACGCUGCCCGGGACUGAGCCAUUUCGAGAAACUCGGGGACGAUUAUGCGUGUCGGCUUCGGUCGUGGCGUUGAUUGGAACCGAUUUAAUCGCAGUGGCUUAAACCGGGCAAAAGUCGUAACAAGGUAGCUGUAGGUGAACCUGCUGCUG
rnacentral:rRNA from 1 species